rnacentral:lncRNA from 1 species
ACUUAAAAACAUCUGAAUUCACAAAGCUUCCCAGGGACAUUAUCUUGAAUUCCAAAAAGGAUGGGCAAGGAACACAGAUUGGAGCCAUUGCCUCUUCUGUUUCUAACUACCCACAUCUAAGGCAUGGGGAAGUUCGGUUUUUAAGUUCCAUCUCUUAAAUGACAAAGUGCAAAGAAUGGACCCGUUACCCUUUAAGCCAGAGCUACAGUGCUAUAAGAGCACACACUUGUAUAGACUUAAGUCAUUAGGCUUACAGCAGCUUGUUAGAGUAGCUUCAGACAACCAACAUGCUGCCACACGCUGGCACAUGCUACCACACACUUCCCUACAGGAGACUGGUGACAGAGCAGCCAUUGCCACGAGUGCAGGAACACAGGAGAAAUGAACUGUUUUACAGACGGGCGCAGUUCCCACUGAAGCUUAGCAGCCUUGAUGCUGCUUGCUCUGUUUCUGGCAGACGUAACUAAUGCUACAAAGCUCCCAGCCUCUGUCCUGACCUAACCAUUUCUAAGGCAGCAUUUUGAACAGUCAAAUAUAAUACUUUAAUUUCUAGCCUAUGAAAAAUUUGAAAAUUUUUCAUCUGGAUUUCUCCUCAAUUCUUCUUCCUUCUAUAAAUCUGUAUAAUCUUUGUGCUUUCAUCUAAAGGAGAAUUUACUCUCUGAAAAACUCUGCAAAACCCUGGAGAUAAUUUUUUAAAUAGCAAUAAAAACUGCAAUUGAUUAAACAGUCCACCUGUGCUUUGUACAGUCCUGAUGCACUAACUCACAUAACCCAGAUAUAAAGGCUCUUCUUCUGAUUAACUUCUGUCUUCGCUGUUUGCUCUGGGUCAGUUUAACUUCAUAAAACUGGGUUAAGCUCAGCCUUUUAUUAAUUAUGGCAGCAAGUUGGCCAAGUCUUUAUAUUGUUAUAUUUUUAGAUGAUCAGUUUAAAAUAUAUGAGACAGAAUAUGUCAUCUUUUCUGAAAAAAAAUCAUAUUUUAAAAAUACAUUUUAUUUACAUAAUGAAGCAAGGUCUGUUUGCAUAGCAAAAGAUGUCUUAUAAAAGAUGUCUGUGGAGGAGGUAGGUUCCCCAGGUGUAAGAUUCUCUGGAGAGAAAUUUAAUUUGUAAAUGUUUAAUCACAAGUUAAGCUGUUAAUUGACAUUACAAAGAUUUCUUUCAGGCAAAAUGAUUUUUGUGAUUUGACUUAGAUAUUAAAAGGGAGACUAGAAAAGAAAACCAAUGCACACUAGCUGUUGCUGGUGUGUAUUCUAGGCCGUAUCAACCUGCAAAGUUAUUUUUAAUUUUUUAAUAUUACUUAUUUCACUUAGGUGUCUCUCAUACAAGCUCAAAGGCAUUUCAUUAAUACAUUUGGAGGCAGUCUACUUCACACAGGUAUACACAGAUAAUGAUGCCAAAAACCUGCCUGCUAGAAACAGCUCAAUAGUUAGUACUAGCCUAGCACACACAAAGUCCCAGGUUCAGUCCUCUACACUGCAUAAAACCUGGUGUCAGAGCCAUCCCUAUAAUUCCAGCACUGAAAGGGGAGACAGGAGAUUAGGAGUUAAAGGUCAUCCUCCUGCACUACAUAGUGAGUUUAAGACUAGCCUAGGCCACAUAAGACUUUGUCUC